UGGGGAAUAUUGCACAAUGGGCGAAAGCCUGAUGCAGCGACGCCGCGUGAGUGAAGAAGUAUCUCGGUAUGUAAAGCUCUAUCAGCAGGGAAGAAAAUGACGGUACCUGACUAAGAAGCCCCGGCUAACUACGUGCCAGCAGCCGCGGUAAUACGUAGGGGGCAAGCGUUAUCCGGAUUUACUGGGUGUAAAGGGAGCGUAGACGGCGACGCAAGUCUGGAGUGAAAGCCCGGGGCCCAACCCCGGGACUGCUUUGGAAACUGUGCUGCUGGAGUGCAGGAGAGGUAAGUGGAAUUCCUAGUGUAGCGGUGAAAUGCGUAGAUAUUAGGAGGAACACCAGUGGCGAAGGCGGCUUUACUGGACUUGUAACUGACGUUGAGGCUCGAAAGCGUGGGGAGCAAACA
rnacentral:rRNA from 1 species